rnacentral:lncRNA from 1 species
UUUUUUUGAUACAUCCUCGCCUCCUCCGUCCUUCCUUCAACUUGGAGAUCUAGAAGGUGUGCCGCACGACGUUGUGCUCCGCCGUGGACGGUGGCCUCGUCAUGAACUCGCAGCACUCCGUGGGUUGAUUGCUAUGAAGCACGGAGACUCCAGCCCCUUGUCAUGUUCGGUGUCUGAUACGCGUCCAUGUAGUGUCCGACACCAACACGACACCCAUAUUAUGUUCUAUAGUUUGGACUUAUAGGGUAUCCACGUAUCAAUGUCGUGAUUGGUGUCCAUGUCGGUGUCGGUAUCGGUGCUUCAUAGGUUGAUUGUGGGAAACAAACUGUUAGACAACAGCCAUGGCAUUGCACCGCCGCAUCCAUCCACCACGAUAGUCUCUGGCCAAGCACACAUUAUACGGUCGUUGCGCCGCGUCAAUAAAUUGAAAGAAGUAGGGACAUGAAAACCUCCGUUUUCUGGCCUCGUCGGAAAACCUUUUCCGUUCGCCGAACAACCGCUUUCUAUUUUGACGUGCCUUUUUCAACAUCUCUGAAGGAAGUUGGUUUCGAUCUUCAAUGAGGCGUUGGAUCUCUUUGUGACGUGCUAUCAGCGUUCUCCGACCUAGCCUAGAUCUGAAAAAAGACCUAUGCGAUUUCUGCAUGCUAGAAGUUGUCAUGUAGAAACUAGUUAAAAAUGAAUAAGAAUGUGAUUAUAUAAGAUUAUGUCACUAGGAUAGGAAAAGUGUAGAGUUCUUAAUAAUAUUUUCAAUGAAA